rnacentral:rRNA from 1 species
UCGGGAAUUUUGGGCAAUGGGCGAAAGCCUGACCCAGCAACGCCGCGUGAAGGAUGAAGUAUUUCGGUAUGUAAACUUCGAAAGAAUAGGAAGAAUAAAUGACGGUACUAUUUAUAAGCUCCGGCUAACUACGUGCCAGCAGCCGCGGUAAUACGUAGGGAGCAAGCGUUGUUCGGAUUUACUGGGCGUAAAGGGCGCGUAGGCGGCGCGGUAAGUCACUUGUGAAAUCUCUGAGCUUAACUCAGAACGGCCAAGUGAUACUGCAGUGCUAGAGUGCAGAAAGGGCAAUCGGAAUUCUGGGUGUAGCGGUGAAAUGCGUAGAUAUCAAGAGGAACACCUGAGGCGAAGGCGGGUUGCUAGGCUGACACUGACGCUGAGGCGCGAAAGCCAGGGGAGCAAACG